ACGGGUGAGUAAUGUCUGGGAAACUGCCCGAUGGAGGGGGAUAACUACUGGAAACGGUAGCUAAUACCGCAUAACGUCUUCGGACCAAAGUGGGGGACCUUCGGGCCUCACACCAUCGGAUGUGCCCAGAUGGGAUUAGCUAGUAGGUGGGGUAACGGCUCACCUAGGCGACGAUCCCUAGCUGGUCUGAGAGGAUGACCAGCCACACUGGAACUGAGACACGGUCCAGACUCCUACGGGAGGCAGCAGUGGGGAAUAUUGCACAAUGGGCGCAAGCCUGAUGCAGCCAUGCCGCGUGUAUGAAGAAGGCCUUCGGGUUGUAAAGUACUUUCAGUGGGGAGGAAGGCGAAGAGGUUAAUAACCUUUUCGAUUGACGUUACCCGCAGAAGAAGCACCGGCUAACUCCGUGCCAGCAGCCGCGGUAAUACGGAGGGUGCAAGCGUUAAUCGGAAUUACUGGGCGUAAAGCGCACGCAGGCGGUCUGUCAAGUCGGAUGUGAAAUCCCCGGGCUCAACCUGGGAACUGCAUUCGAAACUGGCAGGCUAGAGUCUUGUAGAGGGGGGUAGAAUUCCAGGUGUAGCG
rnacentral:rRNA from 1 species